rnacentral:rRNA from 1 species
AUUGAACGCUGGCGGCAUGCCUUACACAUGCAAGUCGAACGGCAGCGGACCUUCGGGUGCCGGCGAGUGGCGAACGGGUGCGUAAUAUAUCGGAACGUACCUUUCAGUGGGGGAUAACGUAGCGAAAGUUACGCUAAUACCGCAUAUUCUGUGAGCAGGAAAGCAGGGGAUCGCAAGACCUUGCGCUGAUUGAGCGGCCGAUAUCAGAUUAGCUAGUUGGUGAGGUAAAGGCUCACCAAGGCGACGAUCUGUAGCGGGUCUGAGAGGAUGAUCCGCCACACUGGAACUGAGACACGGUCCAGACUCCUACGGGAGGCAGCAGUGGGGAAUUUUGGACAAUGGGCGCAAGCCUGAUCCAGCCAUGCCGCGUGAGUGAAGAAGGCCU